rnacentral:rRNA from 1 species
AACGAACGCUGGCGGCGUGGAUAAGACAUGCAAGUCGAGCGCUGAUUUGAAGGUAGCAAUAUUUUCAAGUCGGAGCGGCGCAAGGGCGCGUAACACGUGGGAAUCUGCCUUGAAGUGUGGGAUAACUCCGAGAAAUCGGAGCUAAUACCGCAUGUGAUCGUGAGAUCAAAGUUGGGGAUCGCAAGACCUGACGCUUCAAGAUGAGCCCGCGGCCUAUCAGCUAGUUGGUGAGGUAAUGGCUCACCAAGGCUAAGACGGGUAGCUGGUCUGAGAGGACGACCAGCCACACUGGAACUGAGACACGGUCCAGACACCUACGGGUGGCAGCAGUCGAGAAUUUUUCACAAUGGGCGAAAGCCUGAUGGAGCGACGCCGCGUGGGGGAUGAAUGGCUUCGGCCCGUAAACCCCUGUCAUUUGCGAACAAAUUGGUUCACCUAACACGUAAACCAUUGAUUGUAGCGGAAGAGGAAGGGACGGCUAACUCUGUGCCAGCAGCCGCGGUAAAAC